rnacentral:other from 1 species
GCACCCCUGCUGUGCUCGCGAUCAAUCUGGCCUUGAUAUGAGCCAACACCAACACAAAGGGAACCUAACUCGCAGCAGCUAGAACAUGCCCCGUGCGGGGACGUUCGAACUACUGCGGAGGGUACCCACCUGCUCAGGCAGGUUCAUUCGGGUCAGCACUAGCGGUACGGUGGGGGGCGG